GACGAACGCUGGCGGCGUGCUUAACACAUGCAAGUCGAGCGGUAAGGCCCUUUCGGGGGUACACGAGCGGCGAACGGGUGAGUAACACGUGGGUGACCUGCCCUUAGCUCUGGGAUAAGCCUGGGAAACUGGGUCUAAUACCGGAUAUGACUCCAUGACGCAUGUUGUGGGGUGGAAAGCCUUGUGCGGCUGGGGAUGGGCCCGCGGCCUAUCAGCUUGUUGGUGGGUGAUGGCCUACCAAGGCGA
rnacentral:rRNA from 1 species